rnacentral:tRNA from 1 species
GCGUCUAUGGUCGAGAGGUCUAAGACGUUGCACUUAAGAUGCACUCCACGUUUCGUGGGCGCGGGUUCAAAUCCCGCUGGGCGCA